UUCACGAAUCGAAAUCACAUCACUAAGCUACUUAUAUUGGAGUUUAUAUAAAUUUAUACUAAUACUUUUUCAAUAAGAAUAUUAAAAAUAAUUGAAAUAAUUGUAAAACAGUGUUUGAUAUACUAAAAAAAUUAAUAAAAAUAUGGAACAUAUGUUACCGAGUCCAGGUUUUUCAAUACCAAGUAUUGGAACACCAAUUCAUCAACCAGAGGCCGAUCAAAUGAUCAAUUUGAGCGCUGCUAAUGCGGUGUAUCAGCAACAAAUGCAAAUAAAUCAACACGGAGCGUGUUUAGUUCAACAAAAUUCUCAUAGUACUCUUACAAACGUAUUUGGAAGCCCUCCUAGGACCGUAAAUAAUUCAAGUAUAAUCUCUAGUUCUGUUCAAUACAAUGCCUCAUCACCCAAACACAUUCAGUCAUACCUGCCUACGUUUAAUACACCACAAAGUUUAAUGCCGCCUCAAACACCGCAAAGUUUUAUGUCACCGAUGGUACCAAUGCAAGAAAGAAGUAGCAAUGAAGUAAUAAAUAACAUACAUCAAACUAUGGGCCCAGCAACACCUAUGACUCCAAUGACACCUAGCUCAGUCGAUUCUGGAAUUGUUCCUCAAUUACAAAAUAUUGUGUCAACAGUUAACCUUAGUUGUAAGCUCGACUUGAAAAAAAUAGCUUUACAUGCCCGUAAUGCUGAAUAUAAUCCAAAACGCUUUGCUGCUGUCAUUAUGAGAAUUCGCGAACCUCGUACAACUGCUCUAAUUUUUUCUUCUGGUAAAAUGGUUUGCACCGGAGCGAAAAGUGAAGAUGAUUCAAGAUUGGCAGCACGUAAAUAUGCAAGAAUUAUCCAAAAAUUAGGCUUUUCGGUAAUAAAAUUUUAUAACUCACUGAGACGAUCAAAAUGAAAUUUGCAAUUAAUGUUAAAUGCUAUAGUCAGAACCUGAUUUAAACAUCUCACUCAAAACUGAAAUAGCUUUACGAAAUAAACUUUGAUUAAUUAUUUUCCUAAUUUCACCCACAACUUUUAACUUUACUAAAAUUCAGUUGACCAAUUUUAUUUAAAAUUCUUAUUAGUAUAUAAUACUUCAAUGAUCAAGUAAAAUUAUUUGAAAUCUUGUGUAAAAACAGCAUAAGUUGGGUUGCAUAUACAUAUAUAUGUAAGUAUUUGCAGUAUGGAACUUAAGAAUGCUUUUGCAUGAAAAUGAACAAGUAACUUGAAUUUUGGAUAUAAAACUUCUAACAAAAUACGCUCAAUAAUAAGAAUAAGAAAUAAUAAGAACUGGGUUCGGAUUGUGAAAAUUAUAGAAAUUUAAAAUAAAAUUAAAGGAUAUUUCGCUUGUUUUAUAAAAAAAAAUAGGAAAAGGGUUUCUUAACGAUUCAGAAAAAAACAAGAUUUCAAAUAUAUGUAGAUCAUUUGCUCUCGCAGCCUAUACACUCUUAACUAAACUGCAUUUGGAAAAACUACCUUAAAAGAAGUGUUAGGAGACGUUUUAUACGUACAUUAUAUUUGUCAUAAACAAAUUUGUAAUAUAAAAUAUGAAAUUUCAACAAAAGUGGUAGUUUCUAAUUUCUUUGAACUUCAGGCAGAAAUCUUAGAACUUAUUUGGUUGGCGAAAUUUUUAGAUUUUAAGAUUCAAAACAUGGUUGGUAGCUGUGACGUUAAAUUUCCUAUUCGAUUAGAGGGUUUAGUUCUCACACAUGCAACAUUUAGUUCUUAUGAACCAGAGCUAUUUCCUGGACUGAUAUACC